rnacentral:rRNA from 1 species
UACGUAGGGCGCAAGCGUUGUCCGGAAUUAUUGGGCGUAAAGGGCGCGUAGGCGGCGCCGCAAGUCGACUGUGAAAUCUCCGGGCUUAACCCGGAAAGGUCAGCCGAUACUGCGGGGCUAGAGUGCAGAAGGGGCAACUGGAAUUCUCGGUGUAGCGGUGAAAUGCGUAGAUAUCGAGAGGAACACCUGCGGCGAAGGCGGGUUGCUGGGCUGACACUGACGCUGAUGCGCGAAAGCUAGGGGAGCGAACGGG